CCUACGGGUGGCAGCAGUGAGGAAUAUUGGUCAAUGGCCGGAAGGCUGAACCAGCCAUGCCGCGUGAAGGUCAGUGCCCUAUGGGCGUUAAACUUCUUUUGUGCGGGAGCAAUAAUGGUCACGUGUGGCCAGACGAGAGUACCGUACGAAUAAACAUAGGCUAACUCCGUGCCAGCAGCCGCGGUAAUACGGGGGAUGCAAGCGUUAUCCGGAUUUAUUGGGUUUAAAGGGUGCGUAGGCUGGGAGGUAAGUCAGCGGUGAAAUGCCCCCGCUCAACGGGGUGAAGUGCCAUUGAUACUGCCUGGCUGGAAUGCGGAUGCCGUAGGAGGAAUGUGUGGUGUAGCGGUGAAAUGCAUAGAUAUCACACAGAACACCGAUUGCGAAGGCAUCUCACGAAUCCGCGAUUGACGCUGAUGCACGAAAGCGUGGGUAUCAAACAGGAUUAGAUACCCUUGUAGUC
rnacentral:rRNA from 1 species